rnacentral:antisense_RNA from 1 species
UUCAAUGGGCGGGCCGUGGUGGGGGAGCCGCAAGGCUCGCCGGCUCGUUAGAACACCGGUCUGUCAACCCUACUUCGUGCCCGCUCACCCCU